UACAGAGGUCUCAAGCGUUGUUCGGAUUCAUUGGGCGUAAAGGGUGUGUAGGUGGCGCCGUAAGUCGGGUGUGAAAUUUCGGAGCUUAACUCCGAAACUGCAUUCGAUACUGCGGUGCUUGAGGACUGGAGAGGAGACUGGAAUUCAUGGUGUAGCAGUGAAAUGCGUAGAUAUCGUGAGGAAGACCAGUGGCGUAAGCGAAUCUCUGGACAGUUCCUGACGCUGAGGCACGAAGGCCAGGGGAGCAAACGGG
rnacentral:rRNA from 1 species